UACGAAGGGAGCUAGCGUUGUUCGGAAUCACUGGGCGUAAAGCGCACGUAGGCGGGUCUUUAAGUCAGGGGUGAAAUCCUGGAGCUCAACUCCAGAACUGCCUUUGAUACUGAAGAUCUUGAGUUCGGGAGAGGUGAGUGGAACUGCGAGUGUAGAGGUGAAAUUCGUAGAUAUUCGCAAGAACACCAGUGGCGAAGGCGGCUCACUGGCCCGAUACUGACGCUGAGGCACGAAAGCGUGGGGAGCAAACAGG
rnacentral:rRNA from 1 species